UACGUAGGGGGGCAAGCGUUUGUCCGGGAAUCAUUGGGCGUAAAGAGCGUGUAGGCGGCCCGGUAAGUCCGCUGUGAAAGUCCAGGGCUCAACCCUGGGAUGCCGGUGGAUACUGUCGGGCUCGAGUCCGGAAGAGGAGUGUGGAAUUCCUGGUGUAGCGGUGAAAUGCGCAGAUAUCAGGAGGAACACCAAUGGCGAAGGCAGCACUCUGGGACGUGACUGACGCUGAGACGCGAAAGCGUGGGGGAGCAAACAGG
rnacentral:rRNA from 1 species